GCAAUCUUGGCCGAGCGGUUUAAGGCGCCAGACUUAAGUGAACACUAACUAGUUUAGUGUGCGUUCUGGUCACGAAAGUGGCGUGGGUUCGAACCCCACAGGUUGCA
rnacentral:tRNA from 1 species